rnacentral:miRNA from 1 species
UAAUACUAAUGUUAAACGACAUGGAUCUCCUUUGGGACAAACAACGCUGGAACAGACAGCUCUCCAUUCUUGUUGUCUGUCCCAAAGGAGAUCCAUGUCGUUUAACGUUAGUAUUA